rnacentral:tRNA from 1 species
UCCCUGGUGGCUCAGAGGUUAAAGCGUCUGCCUCCAAUGCAGGAGACCCGGGUUCGAUCCCUGGGUCGAGAA